UAUAUUACCACCAGUAUAUUACUACCAGUAUAUUACCACCAGUUGAUUACCACCCAGUAUAUUACUGCCAGGUCAGUAAAUAGUCCUACCAGUAUAUUACCACCAGUAUAUUACCACCAGUAUAUUACCACCAGAGGCUAUGAUACAGUAUUGAGGCAUAUACAGUAGCGAUGCUUAUAUACCGUAGAGCGGCUUCAA
rnacentral:lncRNA from 1 species